rnacentral:rRNA from 1 species
CAAACUAAAGAUGGCGACCGGCGCACGGGUGAGUAACACGUAUCCAACCUGCCGAUAACUCGGGGAUAGCCUUUCGAAAGAAAGAUUAAUAUCCGAUAGUAUAUUUUCUCCGCAUGGCGAGAAUAUUAAAGAAUUUCGGUUAUCGAUGGGGAUGCGUUCCAUUAGUUUGUUGGCGGGGUAACGGCCCACCAAGACUACGAUGGAUAGGGGUUCUGAGAGGAAGGUCCCCCACAUUGGAACUGAGACACGGCCCAA